rnacentral:rRNA from 1 species
AACGAACGCUGGCGGCAGGCUUAACACAUGCAAGUCGAGCGCCCCGCAAGGGGAGCGGCAGACGGGUGAGUAACGCGUGGGAAUCUAUCCAUCUCUACGGAAUAACGCAUGGAAACGUGUGCUAAUACCGUAUACGUCCUUCGGGAGAAAGAUUUAUCGGAGAUGGAUGAGCCCGCGUUGGAUUAGCUGGUUGGUGGGGUAAAGGCCUACCAAGGCGACGAUCCAUAGCUGGUCUGAGAGGAUGAUCAGCCACACUGGGACUGAGACACGGCCCAGACUCCUACGGGAGGCAGCAGUGGGGAAUAUUGGACAAUGGGCGCAAGCCUGAUCCAGCCAUGCCGCGUGAGUGAUGAAGGCCCUAGGGUUGUAAAGCUCUUUCACCGGUGAAGAUAAUGACGGUAACCGGAGAAGAAGCCCCGGCUAACUUCGUGCCAGCCGCCGCUGUAACAC